AUUGAACGCUGGCGGCAGGCCUAACACAUGCAAGUCGAACGGUAACAGGAAGAAGCUUGCUUCUUUGCUGACGAGUGGCGGGCGGGUGAGUCAUGUCUGGGAAACUGCCUGAUGGAGGGGGAUAACUACUGGAAACGGUAGUUAAUACCGCAUAACGUCGCAAGACCAAAGAGGGGGACCUUCGGGCCUCUUGCAGUCGGAUGUGCCCAGAUGGGAAUAGCUAGUAGGUGGGGAAACGGCUCACCUAGGCGACGGUCCCUAGCUGGUCUGAGAGGCGGACCAGCCACACUGGAACUGAGACACGCUCCAGACUCCUACGGGAGGCAGCAGUCGGGAAUAUUGCACAAUGCGCGCAAGCCUGAUGCAGCCAUGCCGCGUGUAUGAAGAAGGCGUCCGGCUUGUAAAGUACUCUCAGCGGGGAGGAAGGGAGUUAAGUUAAUACCUUUGCUCAUUGACGUUACCCGCAGAAGAAGCACCGGCUAACUCCGUG
rnacentral:rRNA from 1 species